rnacentral:misc_RNA from 1 species
AAGUCGUAACAAGGUUUCCGUAGGUGAACCUGCGGAAGGAUCAUUACCGAGUGAGGGCCCUCUGGGUCCAACCUCCCACCCGUGUUUAUUUACCUUGUUGCUUCGGCGGGCCCGCCUUAACUGGCCGCCGGGGGGCUCACGCCCCCGGGCCCGCGCCCGCCGAAGACACCCUCGAACUCUGUCUGAAGAUUGUAGUCUGAGUGAAAAUAUAAAUUAUUUAAAACUUUCAACAACGGAUCUCUUGGUUCCG